CUCGGUUUGGGAACGGCUUUGGGUUUGUGUGCACUUCUGAUUUUCUGUCUCAUUUAUUUCAUCCUGAGGAGAAGAAAAUGGGAUAAAACGAAAUCUGGGAUAGAAGAUUUUCCAGGAAUGACGCAGGAAUCUGAAGCUGAAACACUGAAUUAUGCAGCUGUGCAAUUCUCUAAGAGGAACCCCAAAGCUGAAACAAAGAAAACUGGCUCUUCAGAUGAGUGUGUGUACUCCGGUGUGAAGAAAACUCUAAGAUGUAACAGAAAUAAUUUAUAACGCAUGGUACUGUUACACGGCAAAUACAAUGACUAUUGUUCAUUACCAUGAUAUGAUAUGAGAUAUGAUAUGCCAACAGAAAAAAAAGCAGAAUAGCCUAGAAAUCAUACAUUUGUUUACACUAAUCUCAUAAUAAGAAUUAUAUUAAAGUUGCCUGUAUUUAAGAUUUUUUUUUAAUUUGCAGUGUCGAGAGAUGUCUGUGCUCAAGGUUUUUAUUUCUGUGCACACAUUUAAAAUAACUACUGGUGUUUUUUCAUGAUGAUUCCUUUCGGUUCAAGUGUCAGUAUGUUAACUUUCAGUAAGAGUGACCUUGUAAAAAUCCAACUUGUAUGUUUUUUUUUUUAAUUUUAGUUUCAUGAGUUCAGUAAUGCCCUUGUGUUGGGCUCAUUUGUAUGUCUGAUUUUUAACACAGUAAAUGUAAAAAGCAAUUUCGUAAAAAAAAGUAACAAAAACAUGGUCUUUAACAUUAUUCUGAAAAUUAUUCUGUGAGUAAUGUUCCAUUUCUAGUGUAUUUUCAAAAAAGAUGUGGCUUGCCUAGAAAUGCAAGUUACUGUCUAUUUGACUGUGACCUCGACAUUACUGUAUGUCAUUUAUUAUAUGAUUUACAUCUUUAGAGACUCAGAUAGUGGUGUGAGUUUUACCAGUGGAAGUGAAACCAGUGAAUGCAGUGAGGAUGAUUAAAUCAGCAAUAAAAAAUACAAUAAAUCUCACUGCUGUAUUAAUCUUGAUACAGACCCGGUUGCAGAAAUGACUUCCAACCUCUUCUAAGGCUGUUUUUGUCACUGAUCUUUGCCUUUUAAAGAUUUUGUUUUCCUGUUUGUGGAGCUCAGAACGUGGAAGUAGUUUUCUUCGCCAUUGAGUGUCAAGCAAAAUUU